CAGCCGCCACGGGAAUACGAAGGGGGCUAGCGUUGCUCGGAAUCACUGGGCGUAAAGGGUGCGUAGGCGGGUCUUUAAGUCAGGGGUGAAAUCCUGGAGCUCAACUCCAGAACUGCCUUUGAUACUGAAGAUCUUGAGUUCGGGAGAGGUGAGUGGAACUGCGAGUGUAGAGGUGAAAUUCGUAGAUAUUCGCAAGAACACCAGUGGCGAAGGCGGCUCACUGGCCCGAUACUGACACUGAGAGACGAAAGCUAGGGGAGCAAAUGGGAUUAGAUACCCCCGUAGUCCCUGUCUCUUAUAC
rnacentral:rRNA from 1 species